rnacentral:rRNA from 1 species
UAGUCCACGCAGUAAACGAUGAGUGCUAGGUGUCUGGAUUUUUAUCUGGGUGCCAAAGCUAACGCAUUAAGCACUCCGCCUGGGAAGUACGGUCACAAGACUAAAACUCAAAGGAAUUGACGGGGACCCGCACAAGCGGUGGAUUAUGUGGUUUAAUUCGAUGCUACACGAAAACCUUACCAGCUUUUGACAUCCCGAUUGCGAGACACAGAGAUGAGUCUUUUCAGUUCGGCUGGAUCGGAGACAGGUGUUGCAUGGCUGUCGUCAGCUCGUGCCGUGAGGUGUUAGGUUAAGUCCUUUAACGAGCGCAACCCUCGUCCUUAUUUGCCAUCAGGUUAUGCUGGGAACUAUAAGGAUACUGCCGGUGACAAACCGGAGGAAGGUGGGGAUGAUGUCAAGUCAUCAUGGCCCUUAUGGGCUGGGCUACACACAUAAUACAAUGGGAGUUACAACGGGAAGCGAAGGAGUGAUCCGGAGCUAAUCCUUCAAAGCUCUCUC